rnacentral:tRNA from 1 species
GCCGAAGUGGCGGAACCGGCAGACGCGACGGUCUCAAAAACCGUUGAGGGUCGCCCCUCAUGUGGGUUCGAGUCCCACCUUCGGCA